rnacentral:rRNA from 1 species
AACCACCUGAUCCCAUCCCGAACUCAGCAGUGAAACGAUGUAUCGCCGAUGGUAGUGUGGGGUUUCCCCAUGUGAGAGUAGGUCAUCGUCAAGA